rnacentral:lncRNA from 1 species
AAAGUUUUCUAUAUCAUUUAGUUUGAUAUGGUCAAUUUAAAACUUUUAAGAAAUUGUAAAAUAUUAUAGUUGAUUAUAUAAUAUUUAACUUAAUAGGUUAAUUUUAGGUGAUUUAAAUACAAAAUUGCUUGUGUUUAGAAACCCUAGCCGCUCCCUGGGACCUUCGUUGAGAAUUAGCACGGCAACCCUCACCGCUCCGAUGGAAUCCCUGUCGUCUCCUCUUCCAGCCUCUUCUGCUCAAUCCUCUCUGCAUGAUCACCCCACGUCGUGGGCUGCCAAGACGAAAGGG